rnacentral:rRNA from 1 species
AGGCGCACGCAUCCUAUGAUCCCGAGAUGUCCGAAUGAGAAUCUUACACUUUUGUGUAUUCCAGUGCACUAGUAUUGGAAGUCGAACCGUGGGAAUUGAAGCAUCUUAGUACCACGAGGAAAAGAAAUCAAUUGAGAUUUCCCAAGUAGAGGCGAUCGAAACGGAAAGAGCCCAAACUGAAUCUGCUAUGGUAACAUAGUAGAGAUGUGGUGUUUUGGUGUGAUAUUACGAUCCUAGAACAUAGCUGAAGUGUCCUGAAAUGUUCUGGCAAAGAGGGUGAUACCCCCUUAGGCGAAGUGGUAUAGGAUCUUAUCAUUACCCGAGUAGCUGUCCUUGGUAGUGGGCAGUGAAUAUUGGUGAAAGUAGCAUCAGAGGCUAAAUAUUUCUCAAGACCGAUAGUGAACUAGUACCGUGAGGGAAAGCUGAAAAGUACCCCGGAAGGGGGGUGAAAAGUGCAUGAAACCUAUUGCUUACAGACGUGCAUGGCAUGAAAGGUGAUUUUUUCAGAUUGGAGGUUCUAGCAAUAGAGCUAAAGAUUUGAAGCUCAAAUCAUCAGUGUCAUGCGUUCCGUCUCGAAACACGGGCCAGGGAGCUUGCUGUCAUGGCGAGACUAAACCUAGAAAGGUGGAGUCGAAGGGAAACCGAAUUCUCGCAGCAUUGUGAGGAGAAGCGUGUGAAAGUGCGUUGAGUCAUGGCGGUAAGGCUAGAAGCCAGUCGAUCUAUUCCUGAGCAAGAUGAAGGUGGGCGAAAGCCCACUGGAGGUCUGCAGCAGUUCUGACGUGCAAAUCGUUUGUGUGACUUGGGAAUAGGGGUCAAAAACCAAUCUAGACUGGCGCUUGCUAGUUCCAACCGAAGCGUCUCGUAGGGCGUGCUUUGUGGAGAUAGUAUUUCCGGUAGAGCACUGAUAGGGCGGCGCGGGGAAGAAAUUCCUCACCGCCCAUUCAAACUCCGAACGGAUAUACAUUGUAGAAGCAAGGACACGGGUUCGUGUGACGUAAGGUUCACGACCGAAAGGGGUUUAACCCAGACUGAAGUUAAGGUCCCCAAAUUUUUGCUAAGUGUCAAGCCAAAGUGCGUGUUCGCGCCAAGACAGCAGGGAGGUAAGCUCAGAAGCAGCUAUCCUUUAAAAAGUGUGUAACAACUUACCUGCCGAGCGAGGGCGCCACAAAAACGGACGGGGCUAAAGCAAAGUACCGAUACUUUGGAUAAGCAUCAUUAGAUGUUUCGUGGUAGGUUGGCGUAGUGAUUAGGACGAAGCAGGGCGGUGACGUCCUGUGGACUGAUUUCUAUUGCAGAUCCUGGCGGCAGUAACAGCAUAGUAUGGUGAGAACCCAUACCACCGAAAGCGCAAGGGUUUCCAGGCAAUGCGUUAUCAGCCUGGAGUUAGUCGAUCCUAAGGAUUACCUCAACAGAGUAAUUCGAAAGGGAAACUAGUUAACAUUCUAGUACCUUGCAGGGAGCGUUUGAGCUAUAUGAUUCGCUUCCGGAUAGAGUGAGUAUAACCAUCGUUGUAUCUAACUAUUCGAGAAUUGGGGAGUGUCGUAAUGACGAGAUCCAGUUCGAGAUGGGAAUGGCUUCGCGUUAGCAAAGUUCACUCGAUUCCAGGAGACCAUGAAAGAUUGUGUAGUUAGCAAACUGCAAGUUCGUACCCAGAUCCGACACAGGUGCGCUGGUUUAGUAAACUAAGGUGCUACGGGUAUACCGUAUGGCGAGGGAAUUCGGCAAAUUAGUCCUGUAGCUUAGGUAUAAGGGAUGCCUGCAAUUGUCAUGAGGAAUGGCGAUAGCAGGUUGCAAUGACAAGGGGGUUUCGACUGUUUAAUAAAAACACAGGCGACUGCUAGUCCGAAAGGAUUUGUAUAGUCGCUGAAUCCUGGCCGGUGCCGGUACCUAAAACUUGGGUUCAACCGAGCUAAGGGCCGGUUAACGCCGGGAGUAACUCUGACUCUCUUAAGGUAGCCAAAUGCCUUGUCGGGUAAGUUCCGACGCGCAUGAAUGGAACAACGAGAGCCCCACUGUCCCCGCCUACAACCCGGUGAAGCCACAUAAGGUGGACGAACAGUCCAUCAUCUUCCAUCGGGGAGAGAAGACCCCGUGGAGUUUUACUGCAGCUUGUGCUUGUAGUAUAGUAAGGAUUGCACAGAGUAUCUGGGAGUCUUUUCUUAACGUUCUCUGGGACGUUAAGGGACGCCGAUGUAACACCAGACAUUUUUUGCAGUACUUCUUACCUGGUGAAGACCAGGGACACGUGCAGGUGAGAUCGGAAGAGCACACGUCUGAACUCCACCUGCACGUGUCCCU